AUGGAGGGAGGUCCGUGGCUGUUUCGUAGAGCUCCGGUAAUUCUUCAGGAGUAUGAUGGCUUCUCGGAUGUCUAUGAAUAUAAGCUUAAUAUGUUAUCAGUUUGGGCGCGGGUUAAAGGCCUACCAGAUGGUCUGACAAGGAAGCGAGAGCUUGCUGAAAAAGUGGCGGCGAAGGUUGGCGAUCCCCCCUUCAAUGUGAUCGUCAACGAAGGUCGCAUCAAUCCAUCUAGUACCCUGCGUGCAAGGGAAAGGAAGAAAUACAGUGUCCUAUAUGAAAAACUGCCAGACUUUUGCUUUGCGUGUGGUCUUAUGGGGCAUCUUGCAGAAGAAUGUGGGGAUGGGGUGCAUGAUCCUAGAACCUUUGAAUGGGGGAGUGGCUGUUGUGGGAACCAGAGUUGCCAUCAGCUCAAACCUAUGGAGCAAGGGGGAGAGGUGAUGGUGGAGCUAGAGGAAGGAGUAGGGAGUCAGGUAGAAACGAAUGGGGAGGUAGAGGCUAGGGGAGAUCAGCGGGUGGCAGAGGCAGGGGAGAUGCAUCGGGUACUAGCUCACCAGCACCACAAUGUAUGGAUGUAG
rnacentral:rRNA from 1 species